rnacentral:lncRNA from 1 species
AUGAAGACUGAUGAUUUUGUGGUCCGAGAAAUUGGUAAGGUACCCGCUUACCUUACUGCCCAAAAUUAUGCUAGAAAUAUUGUACUUAUGAUAUAUAAAAACUAAAACUAUGUCAAUACCAAUGCUUGUGAAGUAAGGUUGUAAAUGGGUGCCUGUUUGUUUUUUUCCCCUUUCCAGCUUUCUUGUAUUAUUAGGAAUUGACUAAGAGAAAAGAGAGUUAACAAAAUAAAGGUUAUUUUGUUGAGGAUUGACUUAAGAGAAAAGUGGAUCGGUCUGGUGGAUUUCAGUAAUUAUUCAAAGAGAGAGAGAGAGAGAGAUUGUGAAAGAGACAUCGAUUGUGAAAUGCUAGGUUGACCUUUAAUGACUUUAUAUAAUUUGGUGAAGACAAGAUAAGAAAACAAAAGAGAAUAGGUGAUAAAAAGAAGAAAACCUCUGUUUUGUAGGCCACUGAAAUUGUCCAAAUUAGGGGCCUGUGGAGCCAAAGAUCCAUUGAGUUGUAUGGUCCAAAGAAAAAGAAAAUAGGACCAACAUGCAUGGGGCCUCAGUGAGAAAAUGAGAUCAGAAAAAAGGAGAGAAUUCUUAGGGUGUUUAUUAGGGGCCUACGUUUAAACGACUUUUGACAUUCAUGAGUGCUUACUUUUGGUAUUUAGCAUAAAAGAAAUCAAGGAACGCGUUUUUCUUAGGCUCAUGAACACAAGAAAGGAAAAAGAGAGAAAUAAAACAACAAAAGAAACUUGAAAAGAUUGGAUUGGAAAAGAUAUAGUGGCAAAGCAUCUGUAAAAGAUGGAAGCAAAAGGCUGGGUGAUGACUACCACCUUUUCUUUGGCACAAGCACACCAAACAAAAAUCUUUUUUCUUUCUUUCUCAUAAGAAAUGAAAACCCAAUCUUUUUUCUUUCUUUUUCACUUCGGCCAUUCACCUCAAAAAUCCAAGGGGUUGGCUUGGCCAUUAAUCUUAAGUUGAUUUUUAUUUAUAUCCAGUGUGCCAAUUCAACUUCCAUCUGUACUUGAUGAUUCUUAACAUGCGAAUUUGAAUGUUAUAUGCCUGCUUUCCCUUUGAAAUGACUUGGUACUCAACUCAUUAUUUUUUUUCAGAUUUAGCAUAUUAAUGUUCUCUAUUGGACUGAAAUGUUUCAGGUUUCUUUUUCAUAAAAAAGAGUUUAGGCUAGUUAUAUUAUCUCAUCACUCAAUCACUUGACAAAUUUUCUUAAACUUUAAAAGAAAUGUUGAUUUAUAUUGUUAUGUCAUUAACUACUUCAAAUUCAAGUCUGUAUCAUGAUUAUGAAAUGGUUUUGGCAUUGAUAUCAUCCGCUUAAGUUUUCUAUGGUUAUGCAGGUCUCAUAGGUUCACUCGUCUGGAUAAGCAGAAAAAGAACGUGCACACUUGCACAGCACACAAUCAAGUUGAGGCUGUUCUUGCACCAAUUCAGCCACGAUGACUCAUGA